AUUAAUGUGUGUGGGCAUGUUAGAUCCCUACUCAGGCAGCAAUGACAUCUCAGGUGUGCCUCUUCAUUAGUUAGCUCAAGCAUGUGCUUGCCUUGGCUAAUGUCAGUUUUCUAUGUUGUAUACUUAUCGCGAGGCAUUCGAUCAACUCAAACAUCCUAUUUCUACCUUGUGUUANGCCUCUUGGGGCUACGACACAUGGUGGACCUAAAACCAUCUGUCGUGUUYCAUGUCCCAUGCAUGCAUACACAUGCUUGGGUUGUUAGCCCAUGGCGUCAUGCUCGAUAUCUCAAAUGUGGAAUACCUNGUAGGUAGGAGGCCCAUAACCUCUAUUUGUCUAAAAAUAAACAUUCUAUGAUAUGUGUAAAUAGCAGUAGUACCUGUUUUUGUUAUUCCUCAUGGCUUGGCUCAUGCGGCACCANGGUCGAUGAGGAA
rnacentral:misc_RNA from 1 species